CAAAAGCGUCGGCAUGUAGGUUAGAAGCACAACGCCACUUUAACAGAGAUGACCACACUCUCAUUGUUUGACCAAUGAGCCUGCGGCAGUACUGUAUAUAGUUACGCUCUUGGAUUUCAUAUGUGGUUGUUUGAAAAAAAGAAAAAGGCAUGAAAUAAGGAG